UUUUAUGGAGAGUUUGAUCCUGGCUCAGGAUGAACGCUGGCGGCGUGCCUAAUACAUGCAAGUCGAGCGAACGGACGAGAAGCUUGCUUCUCUGAUGUUAGCGGCGGACGGGUGAGUAACACGUGGAUAACCUACCUAUAAGACUGGGAUAACUUCGGGAAACCGGAGCUAAUACCGGAUAAUAUUUUGAACCGCAUGGUUCAAAAGUGAAAGACGGUCUUGCUGUCACUUAUAGAUGGAUCCGCGCUGCAUUAGCUAGUUGGUAAGGUAACGGCUUACCAAGGCAACGAUGCAUAGCCGACCUGAGAGGGUGAUCGGCCACACUGGAACUGAGACA
rnacentral:rRNA from 1 species